GGGGAUUUGGCUCAGUGGUAGAGCGUUUGCCUAGCAAGCGCAAGGUCCUGGGUUCGGUCCCCAGCUCCG
rfam:Rattus norvegicus chromosome 5, whole genome shotgun sequence.